rnacentral:rRNA from 1 species
GAGUUUGAUCGUGGCUCAGAUUGAACGCUGGCGGCAGGCCUAACACAUGCAAGUCGAGCGGUAGAGAGAAGCUUGCUUCUCUUGAGAGCGGCGGACGGGUGAGUAAUGCCUAGGAAUCUGCCUGGUAGUGGGGGAUAACGCUCGGGAACGGACGCUAAUACCGCAUACGUCCUACGGGAGAAAGCAGGGGACCUUCGGGCCUUGCGCUAUCAGAUGAGCCUAGGUCGGAUUAGCUAGUUGGUGAGGUAAUGGCUCACCAAGGCGACGAUCCGUAACUGGUCUGAGAGGAUGAUCAGUCACACUGGAACUGAGACACGGUCCAGACUCCUACGGGAGGCAGCAGUGGGGAAUAUUGGACAAUGGGCGAAAGCCUGAUCCAGCCAUGCCGCGUGUGUGAAGAAGGUCUUCGGA